UACGAAGGGGGCUAGCGUUGCUCGGAAUCACUGGGCGUAAAGCGCACGUAGGCGGAUCGUUAAGUCGGGGGUGAAAUCCUGGAGCUCAACUCCAGAACUGCCCUCGAUACUGGCGAUCUUCGAGUCCGGGAGAGGUGAGUGGAACUCCGAGUGUAGAGGUGAAAUUCGUAGAUAUUCGGAAGAACACCAGUGGCGAAGGCGGCUCACUGGCCCGGUACUGACGCUGAGGUGCGAAAGCUCGGGGAGCAAACAGG
rnacentral:rRNA from 1 species